UACAGAGGUGGCAAGCGUUGUUCGGAAUUACUGGGCGUAAAGGGCGCGUAGGCGGUCUUUUAAGUCUUGUGUGAAAUCCCUCGGCUCAACUGAGGAACUGCACGGGAUACUGGAAGACUUGAGUUCGGGAGAGGGAAGCGGAAUUCCGGGUGUAGCGGUGAAAUGCGUAGAUAUCCGGAGGAACACCGGUGGCGAAGGCGGUUCUCUGGGCAUUACCUGACGCUGAGGAGCGAAAGUGUGGGGAGCGAACAGG
rnacentral:rRNA from 1 species